GCAUGAGGCAGGGGAGCUGGGCCAGGCCUGGCGCUGCACUGUCCCUGAGACAGCGCCGGGGCCUACCGGUCACCAUGAGCCUGAGGAGAGCCUGGCUGCAGGCAGCAGGCACCGUCUCACUUGAGACUCCAAGAAAAAACACUGGCACUCCAGUUAAAAUGAUAAUGAGUCCGACUCCACAGACAACUGGCUCAGAGUAUAUGCUGAAGAUCAGCAGAAAUGCCCAAAAUGCCAGGUGUUUGCGUAAGAUCCCUUUGGGUGAACAAGCAAAGCAACUUGCAGAAUAAUUCAACGCUUUUCUAAAAGCAGACAGUGAUUCUCCCUGUAGAAAUGCCAGUCCUGUGGACAUGUAAUGACAUUGCUGCAGCUUAUUAAAUGAAUGAUAUUAUCAGAUGGCCCCAAUGUCUCAGCACUUUAAAAAAAAUUUGGAUGACACAGAAAUGGAUACUUGCCUGCGGGGAUCAACCAACUCUUCUGUUACAUAGUUCAAGAAGUUCCAGCCACUGAAUGCAAAUGACCCUUGAAGGAAGGCUAAUGCUAAAUGCCCCACAGAUGGAGUCAUCCAAAAAUUGAAUGCUUUGCUGGGUGUCAGCUCUUCAUAGUUUCCUGCACAGAAAGCACAAGCAAGAGGUUAAGCCUUCCCCUGAGAGAAGUGCUACCCACCAGAGAUACCAGGAAGGAGCUCAGCGUGGCUGUGAGCAGGGGUGAGGAGGGGAAGGGUCUUGCCCUAAGGGGCGCCCAGCUGCAGACAAGCAGCUGUUGCAGCUUUCCCCUCUGGGUCUCUGCUGCUGGGGCUCUCCCAGCUCGAUGAACUGUGCCUGGUCAGAGCCCAACGUGCCAAGUGAGCCAGGAUUUCUGCCUCCUCACGGGAGACAAUGAACAUUUUCUUUCCCUGAAGCUCCACCUCACUCCUGCCAGCUCUAAUGAAAAGUAUGGCCUGGAAGCUGGUGAGUCGUUUGAGGGAAUCAGUGGACUGUUCUCACAAAGCUGAUAAUCAUCAACCACAAAAUCUGUUAAGUGAAUGACCACUUAGAAGGAUAACACUGCACUCAGUUUCUUUUGCUGUGGUAGAAAUGUUGGUUUGCUCUGAAAUACGUGCAUAAUCUUUGUGGUUUUGUGCGGAAGAUAAAAAUCCCAGUCAGCCCUCUUACGCUGAUUUGCAAGAAACAGUGUGCGCUGGCUGUGAGAUGAUGAAAACAAAUACUAGAAUUCAAUUAACUCUAAUAAUCUUCUCCAACUCUACUGUGCAGUAGCUGCAGUUCUUAGUUCUUUGUGUAUUUUUUUAUGACUCCCCUCACCCUUACCCUUUAAUAUUCUGACCAAUUUAGGGGACUCCGCCAAGGAAAAUAAAAAUAUUAAACAAUCAUACACGUGUACGCUCUGCUUAUUGAUAAGAAUAUCUUGUUCCAUAACUGU